UAAUGUCUGGGAAACGUGCCUGAUGGAGGGGGAUAACUACUGGAAACGGUAGCUAUACCGCAUAAUGUCGCAAGACCAAAGUGGGGGGACUUCGGGCCUCAUGCCAUCAGAUGUGCCCAGAUGGGAUUAGCUAGUAGGUGGGGUAACGGCUCACCUAGGCGACGAUCCCUAGCUGGUCUGAGAGGAUGACCAGCCACACUGGAACUGAGACACGGUCCAG
rnacentral:rRNA from 1 species